rnacentral:rRNA from 1 species
GGUAAUGCUGUGCACUCUAGACAGACUGCCGUGGACAACACGGAGGAAGUGGGAUGACGUCAAGUCCUCAUGGCCUUUAUGUCCAGGGCUACACACGUGCUACAAUGGUGGUACAAAGAGCCGCGAACUCGCGAGAGCAAGCAAAUCUCAAAAAACCAUCCUCAGUUCGGAUUGGAGUCUGCAACUCGACUCCAUGAAGCUGGAAUCGCUAGUAAUCGCGGAUCAGCAUGCCGCGGUGAAUACGUUCCCGGGCCUU